UUUCCGAGUUGCUUUACAAGGACAUCCACAGCAACAGUGAUUCAUCCUGGAGCACUGGUGAACUUUCUGAGUCAGAAGCCUUAGUGAAAAGAACAGGAAGAUCUUAAAAACUACUCUUAAAUCAAUAAAAAGGCUUUUUGCUACACAGG
ensembl:misc_RNA